GGGCUGAAGACUGCGGUUUUUUUUAAUCAGUGGUUUACAUAGCCAGACACCAGGCAGAAAAGAAAAGAGUGGUCUUCCCUUUAAAGUGGUUAUAAUCAUGUGCUAAGUUUCCCCCCCCCCCCCCAAUAACAUAUCAUUAUUCAAGGGAAAUACAAAG
rnacentral:snoRNA from 1 species